rnacentral:rRNA from 1 species
CAUGUCUAAGUAUAAGCACUCAUACUGCGAAACUGCGAAUGGCUCAUUAAAUCAGUUAUCGUUUAUUUGAUAGUACCUUUACCUGGAUAACCGUGGUAAUUCUAGAGCUAAUACAUGCUAAAAAUCCCGACUUCGGAAGGGAUGUAUUUAUUAGAUAAAAAACCAAUGCCCUUCGGGGCUCCUUGGUGAUUCAUAAUAACUCAACGAAUCGCAUGGCCUUGCGCCGGCGAUGGUUCAUUCAAAUUUCUGCCCUAUCAACUUUCGAUGGUAGGAUAGUGGCCUACCAUGGUCUCAACGGGUAACGGGGAAUUAGGGUUCGAUUCCGGAGAGGGAGCCUGAGAAACGGCUACCACAUCCAAGGAAGGCAGCAGGCGCGCAAAUUACCCAAUCCCGAUACGGGGAGGUAGUGACAAUAAAUACUGAUACAGGGCUCUUUUGGGUCUUGUAAUUGGAAUGAGUACAAUCUAAAUCCCUUAACGAGGAACAAUUGGAGGGCAAGUCUGGUGCCAGCAGCCGCGGUAAUUCCAGCUCCAAUAGCGUAUAUUAAAGUUGUUGCCGUUAAAAAGCUCGUAGUUGAACCUUGGGCCUGGCUGAUCUGUCCUCCUAAUCGAGCGCACGGAUUCGGUCGGGUCUUUCCUUCUGGGGAGCCGCAUGCCCUUCACUGGGCGUGUCGGGGAACCAGGACUUUUACCUUGAAAAAAUUAGAGUGUUCAAAGCAGGCCUUUGCUCGAAUACAUUAGCAUGGAAUAAUAGAAUAGGACGGAGGUUCUAUUUUGUUGGUUUCUAGGACCGCCGUAAUGAUUAAUAGGGAUAGUCGGGGGCGUCCGUAUUCAAUUGUCAGAGGUGAAAUUCUUGGAUUUAUUGAAGACGAACUACUGCGAAAGCAUUCGCCAAGGAUGUUUUCAUUAAUCAGUGAACGAAAGUUAGGGGAUCGAAGACGAUCAGAUACCGUCGUAGUCUUAACCAUAAACUAUGCCGACUAGGGAUCGGACGGUGGUUUUUUUAUGCCCCGUUCGGCACCUUACGAGAAAUCAAAGUGUUUGGGCUCGGGGGGGAGUAUGGUCGCAAGGCUGAACUUAAAGAAAUUGACGGAAGGGCACCACAAGGCGUGGAGCCUGCGGCUUAAUUUGACUCAACACGGGGAAACUCACCAGGUUAACAUCAUGUCUGGGCCUGGAAUAGUAUACAUCACAUCCAGGAGAUGUGGUGGUGCUAGUAUACCGUCUCAUGGCUGCACGGGGUAGUCCCCAAUUUCGGGUGCAGGGGUAAUUUACCGCGGUAGAUUACCAGACGGAUGCGACACCAGCUGGUACAGGGAACGCCUUCAACAGUCAUGUAAAUGAUUCACAGGCCGAUCCUGUGGCGAGCCAGAGUAACGUCUGGCCGUCGCAACGCGCGCUAAGCGGUGGGUGAAUCACCUCUCGGUGGUUUGCUUAAGGGACGUGCUGGCCCAUGGGAUGAUAAACCAUGCCACGAUGUAGGAGGGCCGAAAUACCAAAUCAUCGUGGGCAGCCAAGAUGGUAUGAACGAACACUCGUUCUCAUCUAGGCUGUGGAAGAGGGGAUGUACAAUGGAUCAUCCCCCUGGCAAAACGCCAGACAUGCUUAGGAUUGACAGAUUGAUAGCUCUUUCUUGAUUGUAUGGGUGGUGGUGCAUGGCCGUUUUUAGUUGGUGGAGUGAUUUGUCUGCUUAAUUGCGAUAACGAACGAGACCUUGACCUGCUAAAUAGCCCAACCCACUUUGGUGGAUUGCCGGCUUCUUAGAGGGACUUUUGGCUCAAGCCAAUGGAAGUACGAGGCAAAAACAGGUUAACCUUGGGAGUUACACCCAUCACAGGCCUGUAGUAGCGGUGUCUCAUGCUUUUCAUGUCCUUCGUUCUAUGACCGUUCCGGGGGAUUUUACCGCUAGUCGAGCACUUGAGAACCUCUUGUGGAAGCUAAGCCACAACUGUCGGGAGAGGUACGUGCGCAGCUAUUUCAGCUACGCACGGUAGUGCCGGCGAGACAACCUGGUCCAGGGGACACUCUCCGAGUCAAUCCUGGUGCGAAUUGGUUUGCGACCAAUCGCUGCAACGCGCGGAAAGGUGUCGGUUCACCCGUGAGGGUGGGCUUAAGGUACGUGCUGAUCCCACACGCGAGUGUGCUUUGUACUGGAGGUCCGACAGGCCAAAGGUGCAGGGGAUGUGUCACGCGAAUGUGACAUGUUGGUCUUGGUGGGGUCAGGUGGUCUACUACUUGACCCCCCACGAGAAAUGCUGUGAUGCCCUUAGAUGUUCUGGGCCGCACGCGCGCUACACUGACAGAGCCAGCGAGUACAUCACCUUGGCCGAAAGGUCUGGGUAAUCUUGUUAAACUCUGUCGUGCUGGGGAUAGAGCAUUGCAAUUAUUGCUCUUCAACGAGGAAUGCCUAGUAAGCGCAAGUCAUCAGCUUGCGUUGAUUACGUCCCUGCCCUUUGUACACACCGCCCGUCGCUACUACCGAUUGAAUGGCUCAGUGAGGCCUUGGGAUUGGCCAGGGGAGAUGGGCAACCAUCACCCCAGGCCGAAAACUUGGUCAAACUUGGUCAUUUAGAGGAAGUAAAAGUCGUAACAAGGUUUCUGAUCCUUCCAAUGGUGAACGUCAUUCAGGAAGCCUUUGUCGCCUGAAAGGGUGUGCAUACCGCGACUCUAAACAAUGUAAGUAUGUCAAGGACAAGUCGGGGGUCUGUGAAGGCUCCCGGCGACGCUGUCAAAUUGCGGGGAGUCCCUUAGAGCUUUCACUACUAAGCGGUGUCCGAAAGGUCACCGUGGCCAGGGUAAUGCCCUCGGGUACAGUCACAACGUGGAAGAUUGGGUAACCUGCAGCCAAGUCCUGUCGCCUGGAGAGAGCGGUACAAAGCUUUCUACAGGCGUGGAUGCUGUUCACAGGCCAAAUGGUAGCGGGUUCGGCUGCGGCCGGGCUCAAGAUAUGGUCGGUCCUGCGAGGAAACUUGCGGGGAGUUCGCCGGGUUGUUGGGCUCUCGUCGCACGAGUGGCGCACAACCAGUAACAAGAAAACAAACGUUCCGUAGGUGAACCUGCGGAAGGAUCAUUA